rnacentral:rRNA from 1 species
GGAAUAUUGCGCAACGGGGGAAACCCUGACGCAGCAACGCCGCGUGAGUGAGGAAGGUCUUCGGAUCGUAAAGCUCUGUUCUUAGGGAAAAAUGGUUAGAGAGCUAAUACCCUCUAAUUUGAUGGUACCUAAGGAGAAAGGACCGGCUAACUUCGUGCCAGCAGCCGCGGUAAUACGAAGGGUCCAAGCGUUGUUCGGAUUUAUUGGGCGUAAAGCGCGCGCAGGUGGAUUAGCAAGUCAGGUGUGAAAUCUCGGAGCUUAACUCCGAAACUGCGCCUGAAACUGCUAGUCUAGAAUGUCGGAGGGGGCAGGGGAAUUUCACGUGUAGGGGUAAAAUCCGUAGAGAUGUGAAGGAACACCGGAGGCGAAGGCGCCUGCCUAGACGAUUAUUGACACUGAGGCGCGAAAGCGUGGGGAGCAAAC